rnacentral:rRNA from 1 species
GACGAACGCUGGCGGCGUGCCUAAUACAUGCAAGUAGAACGCAGUUGCGAACGGGUGAGUAACGCGUAGGUAACUUACUCGUAGAGGGGGGUAACUAUUGGAAACGAUAGCUAAUACCGCACACUAGCAGUUGGACCUGCGUUGUAUUAGCUCGUUGGUGGGGUAACGGCGCACCAAGGCAACGAUACAUAGCCGACCUGGGCGGGGGAUCGGAGCCACAGUGACGUAGACACGGCCCAGACUCCGACGGGAGGCAGCGGUAGGGAAUCUUCGGAAAUGGACGGAAGGCUGACCGAGCAACGCGGCGUGAGUGAAGACGGUUUUCGGAUCGUAAAGAUCUGUUUUAAGAGAAGCGGUAUCUUACCAGAAAGGGACGGCUAACUACGUGCCAGCAGCCGCGGUAAUUC